rnacentral:rRNA from 1 species
GCCUAUUACCAAGUAAUCCAGAAUGUGCCCAAUCCCAUGUGAGCUCGCAAGCUAAGCAGGAAUGAUCGUGGUGAGUGCUUGUAUGGGUGACCACCGGGCACAAAAACAGGUGUAGCAGGUG